rnacentral:lncRNA from 1 species
UUUUCAGUCGCUACAAAGAAGAAUAGGAGGUUCAAGAAAGCUCUGCAUGAGGUGGUAAUGGUGGGGACCGAAGUCUAGAAGGCUGGGAAUUCAAUAAGCUGGUAAGCCCUAAACCUCUUUGUAAUCGUGGAUUAGAGUAAAGAGAAGUAAGAAUUUUUGAAAAGUUUUUGUAUAAUUAUGGAUUCUGGGCUUUUAAGGUUUGAAUGCCUUUGAGUUAGCCGAUAAAUGGUUGUUGUGCUUAGCUGUGGUUGGCUGUGGUUGGUUGUGUGACCUAGGUCAGAGGGUUACACGAGUAAGGAUAUGGGUUGGAACACGGUUGUGUGUCCCACAUCGAAUGCCCACACGGCCUAUGACACAAACGUGUCUCCUGGCCGUGUGAGCCACACGGCUUGGCCACACGGACGUGUGUCCCCUGUACUUAGGAAAAAUUUUAAAAUUUCAUGAAUUUUUUUUGAGUUUUCGGUUUAGUCUCGAUUUGUUCUAAUGCCUAUUUUAGGCCUUGAGGGCCCAUUUAAAGAGACUAUAUAAUAAAAUAUAAUUAAUUUCAGAUAUGAAUAGUAAAUGACAUGAAUUAAUUGUAAUUAUUCUGUAAACUCCAGUAUUGCUCCAUAACCCGUUCCGGCGACGAAUAUGGGUUAGGGGUGUUACAAGCUAAGCUAUCAAGGAUAAAGGAAGCAAUGUGAAUUUCUAUACUCAGUCUUAGGUGGUUGAUGAGAUUGAGUUGUUGGAUGAUUUGUGUUGUGAUUAUUCUGGGUUGUUUGAGUUUUUUGUUGCAUGAAAAAAUAGUGACUAAGCAUGUUGUGGCAGCAUAAUCGUGUACGAGUAUUUGAGAAUAUGAAAGUACAAUAAUUGAAUGUUAAAUCAAUAUCACAUGGUGUUGAAUAUGUGGUGUACUUUAUGUUAUGUUUCCAGUAUCUUGAUCGCAUGAAAUAUAUGAUUAUAUUGUAUGUGGAGUACGGAGGUAAUUUAUCUUGAUGGGGUAGAGGAAGUUAGGAAAAAUUGGCGGAAUUGGAGGAAUGGGCGGAUUGCUAAAGGGAUACAAAUGAGUAUGGUUGUGCCGUGGAAUGAUAUCGACUGGCUAGCUAGAAUGAAACUGUGACGAUGGUUAUUGAUUGGUCUUUGAGGGCGACACCGUGACGACGGUCUACAAGCUCUAUGGGGCGACACCUCAAAAAAGGUUUAAGGUGUAAGACCAUGACUCGGCUAUGAUAACCAUUAAAGUCUGCCAGAACAUUAAAUAUGGGGGAUUUCAAGGUGUAAGACCAUGGCUCGAUUAUGGCAACCAAUAGAGUUCGUCAGGACGUUCAAUAUGGGUUUAGACUGUGUACGACCAUAGCUCGGUUAUGGCAUCAAGUAAAGUCCGCCAAAGUGUUGAGCUAGAAAGCUGACAGGACAAGGUAAGGGAGAUCGUUUUAUGACCUAAUUGGAGAGUAGCAUGAUCGAACGAGUAUGACGCAUUUGAAAAUGUGGGUAAACGAGAUAGUCCAAAGAUCCAUCAAAUUAUGAAAAUAAGCAAUGCUAGUAGAAUUGUUUGGGAAUGCAUGUAAGCUUGUUGACAAGGGAUCCCGCUAGAUUGUUAUGAAAGGGAACUAGAGUAUACGACUAUUCACAUUUACAAACCCUAUUGAUUUGAUUCUCAAACUUCUUAAGUAAAGUUUUUAGGUUUUAAAACAGAAACAUUCUA